CGUCCAUUUACAAGGAAUAUCUUUCUUGAAUGUGUUAUUUUUUGUUUCUGUACAAAUGAGGCCAUCCGCAGCCAGACAUAACACUGAGAACAAAACAGUGAAUAUAUAAUUUAAACUUCCAUGUACAUAAAAUUAGAAAAGAGCAAUAAGAGGAAAAACACAAUAAAAUUUAUCUACCUUUGGCUUUAUUUUCCUUCGUGCAACCUUUGGGUUGUUGCGUUUUCGGAUCUAUGAAAUCAUAAUCGGGAUGAGGACAGAUAUAUUGUCCCAUUCGUAGGUUACUGCAGUCGAUUUCAUACGUGUAAUCAACACCAUUGCUCAGCGG